CUUUCCUACGGGGGGCAGCAGUGGGGAAUAUUGGGCAAUGGGCGCAAGCCUGACCCAGCAACGCCGCGUGAAGGAAGAAGGCUUUCGGGUUGUAAACUUCUUUUGUCAGGGACGCAGCAAGUGACGGUACCUGACGAAUAAGCCACGGCUAACUACGUGCCAGCAGCCGCGGUAAUCCGUAGGUGGCAAGCGUUAUCCGGCUUUAUUGGGUGUACAUGGCGUGUAGGCGGGAAUGCCAGUCCGCUGUGAAAACUAUGGGCUCAACCCAUAGCCUGCAUUUGCAA
rnacentral:rRNA from 1 species